UACGAAGGGGGCUAGCGUUGCUCGGAAUUACUGGGCGUAAAGCGCACGCAGGCGGAUUUAUAAGUCAGGGGUGAAAUCCCGGGGCUCAACCUCGGAAUUGCCUUUGAUACUGUCUAUCUUGAGUCCGGGAGAGGUGAGUGGAAUUCCUAGUGUAGAGGUGAAAUUCGUAGAUAUUAGGAAGAACACCAGUGGCGAAGGCGGCUCACUGGCCCGGUACUGACGCUCAUGUGCGAAAGCGUGGGGAGUAAACAGG
rnacentral:rRNA from 1 species